GACGAACGCUGGCGGCGUGCUUAACACAUGCAAGUCGAACGGAAAGGCCUCUUUCUGGUGGUACGCUAGUGGCGAACGGGGGAGUAACACGUGAGUAACCUGCCCUUUACUUUUUGGUAACUUCAGGAAACUGGGGCUAAUAUCGGAUAGGAGCUCCUGCGGCGUGGUGGGGGGUGUGAAGUUUCUGCGGUUGGGGGUGGACUCUCGGCGUAUCAGCUUGUUGGUGGGGGGGUGGCUUACCAAGGCUUUGACGGGUAGCCGGCCUGGGAGGGUGACCGGGCAAAUUGGGAAUGAGAUACGGCCCAGACUCCUACGGGAGGCAGCAGGUGGGAAUAAUGCACCAUGGGUGGAAGCCUGAUGCCGCAAAGCCGUGUGCGGGAUGACGGGCUUCGGGUUGUAAAACGCCUUCGCCCAUGACCAAGCUUUGUGUGACGGUAGUGGGUAAAGAAGCACCGGCUAACUACGUG
rnacentral:rRNA from 1 species